AAUGUGUAGCAAAAGACAGA
rnacentral:miRNA from 1 species